GAUGAACGCUGGCGGCGUGCCUAAUACAUGCAAGUCGAGCGAACAGAUGAGGAGCUUGCUCCUCUGACGUUAGCGGCGGACGGGUGAGUAACACGUGGAUAACCUACCUAUAAGACUGGGAUAACUUCGGGAAACCGGAGCUAAUACCGGAUAAUAUAUUGAACCGCAUGGUUCAAUAGUGAAAGACGGUUUUGCUGUCACUUAUAGAUGGAUCCGCGCCGCAUUAGCUAGUUGGUAAGGUAACGGCUUACCAAGGCAACGAUGCGUAGCCGACCUGAGAGGGUGGACGGCCACACGGGAACUGAGACACGGCCCAGACUCCUACGGUAGGCAGCAGUAGGGAAUCUUCCGCAAUGGGCGAAAGCCUGACGGAGCAACGCCGCGUGAGUGAUGAAGGUCUUCGGAUCGUAAAACUCUGUUAUUAGGGAAGAACAAAUGUGUAAGUAACUAUGCACGUCUUGACGGUACCUAAUCAGAAAGCCACGGCUAACUACGUG
rnacentral:rRNA from 1 species